GGUGAUGUAGUUGCUCACGAGCUUUGAGAAGUUAGUGAGGUGCUGUAGGUCCUUGUUAGCCUUUGAGAAGUAGUUGCUCAUGCGCCAUUGGAGGUUAGUGAGAAACUCUAGUUGCUCAGGAGUUUGAGAAGUUAGUGAAAUGCUGUAGUUGCUCACAACCCUUCAAAGGUUAGUGAGGAGCUGUAGUUUCUCAUGAGCUUGAGAAGUUAGUUAGGACGUGUAGUUGCUCACAAGCCAUCAAAAGUUAGUGAGGAGGUGUAGUUGCUCAUGCUUGUGUUGCUCUAGUCAUAUCAAGCGCUUUCAGAAGUUAGUGAGAUGCCGUAGUCGUAUCAAGUGGCUUCGGAAGUUAGUGAGAUGCCGUAGUCGUAUCAAGUGGCUUCGGAAGUUAGUGAGAUGCCGUAGUCGUAUCAAGUGGCUUCGGAAGUUAGUGAGAUGCCGUAGUC
ensembl:lncRNA